UAUGUACUCCCUCCGUCCGGAAAUACUUGUCGGAGGAAUGGAUGUAUCUAGAUGUAUUUUAGUUCUAGAUACAUCCAUUUUUAUGCAUUUCUCCGACAAGUAUUUCCGGACGGAGGGAGUAUAAC
rnacentral:pre_miRNA from 1 species